rnacentral:RNase_P_RNA from 1 species
GGUAGGCCAGACGGUCGCGUUCCUUAGGGAAUGAGGAAAGUCCGGGCUCCAUAGGGCAAGGAUGACGGAUAACAUCCGCCGUGGGUAACCAUAGGGAAAGUGCAACAGAAACAUUCCGCCGAAACGGGUAAUGCCGUGGUAAGGUUGAAAUGGUGAGGUAAGAGCUCACCGGCGUCUUGGAGACAAGGCGGCCGUGUAAACCCCAUCCGGAGCAAGGUCGAAAUCGGGCAAUUAAGGUGGCUGCCCGCCGCCGCCCGUGAGGUGGACCGCAUGAGCAUAAUAGCAAUAUUAUGCCUAGAUAGAUGAUCGUCCAAUACAGAACCCGGCUUAUAGACCUGCCC